AGUUCACAGGUAAAUUAGGUUCGACUCCAGGAGGAUAGAAUAACACUGAGCCAAGUUAUAAAUGAAUUUUAACAGCCGGCACUUUAAUUGUGAUUUUAAAAAGAAUAGUUUUUUUUUAAAUAAACAAUUCCCACAAUUCAAACAGGUACUCUUUCUGUCUCAACUUAAUACCACGAUGAAAUGAGAGAAAGGGUUUGAUAUUGAGCUCAAGAUAGAAUAAAGAUAAAAUAAAAAUAAAAUGUCCCAAAGUCUCUUGUAUCUUGUGUGUGAAUAUAGUUCUCAAACGUGAACGGUGUAAAGGUUUUUUGUUAAUUCUUUCUAGUGUGUAGUGUGAAUAGUGUGUGAGAUCACAGCUUAGCUGUUAUAUCCCGUGUUAUAUCCUGUGAAUCAGCAAGGGGGUGAGGGUUCACUCCACAUGUGUAGAUCGAAAGGGCUCUGGCUCUGUCACAUGGACUCUGUUGGUGAUGAUAUGUGUAAGAAUCACUUUGAGAUUGUCAGGAAUCCACCUGCCACGCCCGCUUCGGUGGCUGUCAUUGCCUCCUCGUGCUCCCAAGCUCUCAGCCCAAAUCACGUGCAGCUGGAGGUUGUUAUUCACUCACUCCCAGCUCCAAUAUAAACCGCUCACUCACCCACACACCCCCGUCCGUUAUUGCACGUUCAUGCCGUCCACGUAUGAUCCUGUGUGGUUCGUGUUGGCGAGUGCUUGCGUAUGCUUCUCCACGCUACGUGCCGUUCGUCUCGGACUUGCUCUCUUCGUGUGGACUGCGCCUCUCCCCUGGCGCGUUUGGGACUAUAUCUUCCUUUUCCCCGGACUCCGUAUCCUGGAUUAUCCCUGCGAACGCGGCAUGAAUGUCCCUCACAAUAUUCUGUUGGAACAUAUAAUAUUUACAGCUGUUUUUAUUUUGAUGGGAGCAACAUCACCUGCAUUGAUUCUAGGAGGAGCAUCUUCCAUUUCCAGCUCUGUGUUUCUGACCAUCCUGAGAGAGAGAGAGAGAGAGAGAGAGAGAACAUUUUACUAUGAAAACCACUGGUUUGUUGGAUUGCGGUACUGUUUGUUGACCACACCCAUUCUGUAUGUAAACUGGCUAAUCAGCACAUGGUUUGCUUAAUGUUCUAGUCAAUCAUCUAUAAUAAGGGGCGGGACUUGUACUGAGUAUGUAGCGACAUUAUGUGACGUCAUCACACGACCUGCCCUGUAGCCUGGUGGUCACGUGGUCGUUUACGGUGCUCAAUAAGGUCCGGUAAUUAUUUUGGUUUUGUUUUUGCCUCCGCACACAAAUUUAUUUAUUUGUGUGUUUUUGUUGUGUAUUCAUUCAUUUAAACUGUAAACUGUUUUUCUUUCUUUAUUUAAUUUUUUGCUCUUGUUGUGAAGUGAAGUUUGUGUCAUUGCUGCUACACUGUGCAUCUGUGCAUCAUUCGUGGCUCAAAGAUGACAAUAAACUUUAGGCUUUUAUCACA